CAGCACACUUUUCAUCAGAGCUCAGGGAACUGCAAGGUGAUGGCUUGCUGCACUCCUCCCUUGUUGGACGGUGAGCAUCACCACACUGCAGGGCUUUCCUUUGCCAACACAGAACUCAUGAAGGCAGCAGAGGAGCAAGCAUGGUGUCGUCUUGCAAAUGGAUUCUGACGAUAAUCACAAUUAUUUUUCCUGCUGGGGACAAACUUCUGCAGUGGCAGUAGUUCAUCUAUUGAUGUUGGACCUAAUGGACCCUUGAGCACGGACAGAGCUCGGACGGAGUACAACCCACCAUCCUCAUGGCCAUCUUGAGCCAGCUCUCAGGAGGGGAAUCUUUUAUAGUUAAAUGUAUAUGGCCAUGCAGUGUUAGUUAAAGCUUCCUUUCAGAUGCAGAUAUACAGCAGCUUUGGUCUGGGUAAGCAUGAAGGGAGAACAGAGUACACUUGAGUUGCUUUUGUUGUGAGUUUAUAGAAAGCUUUGACCUUAUAGGGAAUAGUACAGCUUUGCUCUGUCUGUUUGCACUCUGUGUUGCUCAGUGAUGUUGCUUAUCUCUCAGCAUGCUGUUUCAUUUAUACAUGCAUUUCUAAUAAUCCUGUCCCCGUGCUUCAGUCCCUUCCCCGUGUUUCUCAUGGCUCCAGCCUCUGCACUGCUGGCAGCUGCUCUGGGUCCAAGCACCAACAUGCAGAACAACCCCAUGCUCUUGCCAUCUGCAAACACAAGCAAUAGUUUUUCUCAGAGAAAGGUCUUUGCCACUCUGAUCCAAGUAGCACUUCAUUUCCCCUGUUAGAAAUGCCUGAGAGCAAAGUUGGGAAAAACUUUCCCUAAAUAACCCCGACGCUGAACAAUCAUUGAAAUGCAUAUCUCUUAUUUCACUGCUUCCCCUCCCCUCACCUGGUAAACAGUGACUUGGCCAACACCUGGUGCCUCUCUGCUCCAUCACUGGGGUGGUUGGUGCUGCUCGUGCCCUCUGGAUCCCUUAACCUGAUUUUUCCACCUGCAGCUGUAUGGCUACCAAUGGGAACCCCCCCCCCCCCCCAAACCCAGCCUGCGUGGAACAAGUGUGUUUCAUGGGGCUGGUUUUGGAGAGCCCAUUUGAGGUAUGGGAUCCCCCGAAGUCUGUUGGUUCCAGAAGGCAAAAAGUACCUCGAAGGGGGUGCACUGAUGCUUGUCCUCUUGCUGUUCCCUCUGUAGUGACUUCCUCCCCUGCAGUACUGCACAGCUGUAAGGAAGCUGUGAUGGCUCUGAGGAAGGAGUUCGGGUUCUGCAGCUGAUGUUCCCAUCUCCAGCGUAUGGAGGGGCUUAGUGCUGCUGUAGGAGCUGCUGCUGUGCACCGAGGUCUGUGGAUGAACAAAGCUAAGCACAAAAAAUGAUUUAUUACAGCUCUAUGAUACAACUUUUUCUUUUUUUUGUAGAUAGUAAGGAAAGUAUGGGAUAAUGGGGGGAAAAAUCAGUUUGGUCUGGGGGAGGUAUUUCUUCAAGCUGUUCUUGGGCAGUCACUCGGUGUGCUGUUGGCUUGGGUUGUGGAGUAGGGGCUUCUCACAUGGGGCAGAGCUCACCCAUUGACAACCCCUCCAGGGCACCGUGAGCCAUCCGGUGUCCUUUUCUUACCACAGAGCAGCUGGGGUUGAGCACUUGCCCUGGUAUUCCUAGAAACCCUCCAGGAAAGCACUCCCGAAGUAGAGGGACCCCACGUCCCAUGGAUGUCACCUUAGCAGUGAUGGCACGGGAAGGGGAUGUCUGUGCUGGCACCUCUGUGACUUCAAAGGCAGGAGCUGAGAGGCUUCUCAGAGCCUCUGCUUUGUUAUUCAUCUUCCCCAGCGCUCAUAAAUUAUCAACAAACAAUCUCAGCGAUCAUGCCGGUGAGCAGGACUGGGUAAUUAUGUUUGUGGUUCAAAAUGAGGGUUGUCAAUUUUAAUUAGGGAAAGCUGAGGGCGCGGGGAAUUUUUAAUGUUACCACCUGAACUCUCGAGUGCUGCUCAGCAAAUAAUUGUAAAUGAAAAAUUAAACAGGACUUGGUAGGCAUUGCAAGGGGCAUUCCUUUUCCUCCAGUUUUAUUUUCCUUUCUUUGAGGCGAAUUGGGAUCUGGCUAUACAAUGGCCAACAGGUUUGCUGUCAGGAUGAGGAAGGAAAGCUGGGGGUGGGCGUGAGGCGCCUUGCUCCUGCAUUGUGCAGCGGGGGCACCAGCGCUCAUCCUCCCAUGGAGCACUGGUGCCAUCAAACCUUCUUGUGCUAAAACCAAGGCAGAGUCGUCCCUGAAUGUCACCAGCAGCCAGAGGGGCUGUCUGUGCGACUGCUGCAUCUGAGCCAGCAAAUGUCAGCUCAUCGCAGGGAGUGGGGGUUAAGAUUUAAUCAGCAGGCCAGCAUCCUCUCCUAAUUUGUUUUCCUUUAUUUAGAGAGGAUUUGCUGAGCUGCAUGUGAUCUUGUGAAUAUUUAUAGUGAGAAUUCUUUUCCUGCUGCUCCUGUGGUUAACAAGUUUGGUGCUUCCAAAGGACACUCACAAUAGGGUCAGGCCUGGAAUGGCCCCAUCCCAUCCUGGCACUGCCCUUUGAGCACCAGUAGAGCAGUGCAGGCAUGACCUUGGCUCAUCUGCACUCUGCUAGGAAGGAGUCCUCUUCCAAGUGUGCUUAGCACCAGCAGAGCCUCAUCCAAAAUAUUCUCAAGACAGCAGAAAGUCAUUUUAAUGGGCUUAGAUGAGGCCCAAAGUGAGUCAGCUGGAGCAAAUGAACUCUCAUUCACUAAUGCAGUCUUAUAAUAGCCAGGCUGCAGAAAAGCAUUUGGCAAUUGUAGUUGUUAAGUCGUAAAAAAUAAUGAAAAAAAAAAUGCAAUUAUUUUUAAUGCUAUGCACAUCUAUUAUGGUAAGAAUAUGCUGAAUCUCUGGUUGGAAAUACUUUGGAUGGCUCGGCUGAUGGUGGUGGGGGAGAGGAGAUGGCUUACAGCAGUCUGUGGCUGGAUGGGAUCACAGCCCUCUGUAGGGUCUGGUGAUGACUGAAAUAACCCAGGGUCAGCUGCUGAGUGAAGGUCUGGGCUGCCUGUCUGCACUGUGGCACAUGGGGUACUUCUCAAUGGGUGACUCAACAGGCUGAUUCCCAGCUCAUAAAGCCAGAGGGUUUGUCCCCAUGCACAUCUGCAGAACCUCGCUGUGUGGGGCUCCAGGUGACUGCCAACAUGGAUGGGUGGCUUCCUAAACGGUGGGAAGAAAUGCAGGGAACUGUGAGCCCAACGGUGUGGGCACAGAUCUCUCUUGGAUAUUCCCUCUGAGAUCCUAAAAAGCAGGAAAGCAUUUGUGGUCUGUGGGCACAGCUUUGGCAGGGCAACCCAAACCUCAGCGAUGAAUCAUCUGAAGGCAGACCCCAGAGAAAGCAGCCUCUUUCCUUCUAGAAAACUAAGCAUCUCUCAUUGCAGUUCCUGAUUUGCAGCCAUGCCUGAGGAAUGGGGGUAUUCAUACUGAGGAAAUAUGCCACCAGCCUAUGUUGCUGCUCUGAGCUUGCUCCCAUACCACGGUUCUUGUGCCAGCUGUUUGGCUGUUUGACACUGCACAGGCUGGAAAGAGCCUUGCACGUGUGAAGCAUGCUGCUGGGAGCACCACGUCUGCAGCUGCUGCUGCAAAUUGCAGCUGAAUGUGCUUUGAGGUAUGCCGGGAUUUGGGGAUAAGAGGUGCGAGUCUGGCAACAGAGCCACUUGACCCUGAGGUUGGGAGGUGGCAUUGCAGAUCCAUCUUGGAGACACGAUGAUCACCUGGUGCCUUGGCCCCUUUUUCUUCUCUUAGCUCAAUACCACCAAGCCAGCUCCUUGUAGUGGACAAUCAGCCCUGCAGGUUGUUUGGUGCCUCCAAAGAUUCUGCUCCAGAAGCCUCCUUGGUUCAGUGCCUGGCAUCACCUGCAGGGCAGAAAGUGCCAUCAUUCAGCAGACAGCGUGCAAAGUGCCAUCUGGUGCAAGUGGGCUGGGGGGGGAAUUAAAAUGUGCUCUCAGAGGAAGAAGAGGCUGCAGACACGUGUUCAUCAGCUCCUGUGUCACUAGCAGGCUGGAGGAAUGCUGGAGCACGUUUAAAGCAGCAGCUUAAUUAAAUGGUGCUGCAGUUCUCACCUUGCCUCUAACUGUCUCUAGCUGUUGGCUUAUUGCCUCUAGCCUCAUGUUCUGAAAGGGAAGAACAACCAUGCACAUAGCCAAAAAUCUAGGUUGCUGGCCAAAAGCAUCCCAGAGCAUCUGGCUUGACCUCAGAGGGAUCACCCUGCUUCUGCUGCUGACCACUCUCCAGUGCCUCUGAUCUCUGCAGCUCCUUGACAUUGUCUGUGAGAGGAGAACACACAGCAAAGGCUGGUUUGCAAAGAGAGGCAGCUGCUGUCACCUCCUGCCCUGUCAGUAGCACUGGUGCAUCUGCUCCCCACCCCAGAGCAGCUUCUGUGUGAGGAUGCUGUGCUGCUUGCAGGGGAUAUCCAGCUGUGAGCAUCCUUGGGGACCAGUGAACAACACCGGGCAGCUAUGCUUCAGCACUGUCCUUUGAGGAGUUUUGGUCCUUGCUACAGCACUAUUCCCAAAGAUGAGCAUCGGGAACCACAAGCACCUUUCCCCGUCUUUUUGCAUUUGUGGGAUCUGACCUACUUUUUGUAAUUGCAGCACAACAGCCUCCCUUGUUUUCUGACUUGCAGGAGCAGCAGUGCCUUGUGCUGCAAUAAGCUGCACCUUAGCAAAUUUGCUCCAAGGAAGGAAGGCAGUUACAGGGGAGGCCGAUGGCACUGCUCACGUGGUGACCUCCCACUCCUCCAUGGAUCCCACAGCCACAUGUAUCUGUGCACCAAUGGCCAUAGCUUUCCCCGAGGGUGCAUCUGGAUUUUGGGAUGCAGGGAUGAAGCCACUUCUAUACCAUGGUUUGCAAGGGGGCACAGCUAGGAGCAUCCCCAUGGAGAAAUUUUGCUCUUCUGCUGCCCAUGCACUGUCUGAUGAGCAGCUGCUGAGAGCCAGGGAGAGGCACCCAGGAUGUGCUGUGGGCUUUGGGAGGACCAAGUUCCAACAGCAGGGGAACAGCAAUGCACACUCUUUCCCCUUGUAAAUAUUUCUUCCAAAGACGCUGCAGCUGUCUGGGAUGCUCCUACACAACAGCGAGUCGUAAGUGAUGGCUUUCUUUGAGUAAUAUAGACUGGGACUCAGUUAAAUGUAUCAAAUUAACUGUCAGAAUAAUCUUCCAGGACGCGAUGAGCCCAAAGAUUAAGCAGCAUGUUAUUCUUUCUUUGUGCUUUUUUUUUUUUUUAUCUUAGCAGAAGGGAUUUACUUUAGAUUCCAAAAUCCAUAUUUGAAAUGAAUUGCAAACAGUUUCUUGUAGUCUUGGCCCAUAUGAAAAGGAUUAUUACCCAAAACAACACUUCUGUCAGGGGGAAUGUAGGUUAAAGAGAAAUGGGAAUGUAAAUAAAUGUGCAGGCUUUGCAGUGCGUUCUGCAGGGGGCAUGUUUAUUUUCUCUUUUGAUUCCCCAAGCCUGGCUUCCUAUGCAAUUAAAGGGUCCAGCUCUUCCCUGCAAAACAUACUCUCAUUUCUUUUUUGUGUCACCAGUAAAUAUUUGGGCUGAAACUGUUUAAACAUAAGCUUUCAAUAAUCUUUGUUUUGCUUUUUCUGGUUCUCUGGCUGAGACCUGGUUUGAAUUUCCAUAGACUAAAAAUACAUCAUUUUGUUUGAAGAGCUUAGAUGAUCUUGUUCAUUUUGCUGUUUAUCUAUUACCAGGAGAGCCUAAUCCUUCUCUGAUUGAUGUUCAGCGUCACGUAGUUAAGCAGCGAUACAGGCUGUGGAGCAGGGAGUUGUUAUUCUUAGCUGGGCUUUUCAGGUACCUGAGCCCACUGCUGACAUUAUGCAUCCACCACACAUUAAAUUGCAUUGCCCUAAUCAAGCGUGCUGCCAUAGGUCAGCAGCAAAAAAUGUGAAGAAAUAGAUGCACGAAGGUGAUAAAAGACAGAAAUGGCAGAGGAUAUUAGGAGGCACAGGGCAGAGGGAGAUUGGUAGCAGUCAAUCCUGAUUUUCAAGAUAAGGCCGUGACUCUCCGGCGCCAUGCCCUGCAUUAUUCAUGUGUGAACGCUGGCGGGGAAGGGCUGUGUGCACCCAACGCUUGGGUUCAGCCUUCACUCUGAUAUUUAUCCAUGUGUUUAUUUGGGGCUCUGAAUUGCAACUUCCCUUCUAGGAUGUUCUAUGCUAAACAGCUGGUGAUUUCUUUAUUUAAAGACCUUCAGGGUAAAGAAGUGGACAAGGAGAGAAAGCCCAAAGCUUUCAAAGGGUAUCUCAGUCUACUGGGUUUCUAGAUGCUCGUGUCAAAGUUAGAAAGCAAUGUUAAUUACGGGCAUCUAGAAAGAGCCAUAAUUAUCUGUCAUUCAUGGUGACAAGAUGACAUUGCCCGUUUGGAAGGUUCGGCAUUACCAUUCACAAUCUUAAGAGCUUAGGCUGCAAUGAUAACUACUUCUGACAACCUCAGGAGAUGAGCUUGAUGUUUUUGAUAUAUGUAUGUGCAGGAGGGGUUGUAUGGCACACAGGUAUGUGGCUGGGCCUUCCACGGGCAAAGAGCAACCAGGUAUCUUAUCAUAGAGUCACAGGACUGUUUGAGUUGGACAGAACCUUUAAAGGCCAUCUAGUCCAACUCCCCAGCUUUUCAUGCUGAGCAACUUUGGUGUUGGAAAAGGAAGGAAAUAAUCAUGGAAAAAAAGGAAGCACCAAAGGUGGGGAGCCCCUCGUGCCCCCUGCAUAGCUUGUAUUGCAGAUUUGCCACCAUGUCCAGGGUCACAUUCAGCUCAAUGCCGUACACCUAACGGUACCGAUCUCUUCCCAGUAGCCAACAUGGAAUGCAAUAAAACUGCAGUCACUUCAUUGUGCACCUCCCUCUUGUCCCAUUCCCGUUUCACCCAGGAGCAGCGGGAGCACAAACCUGCCAUCCCAUGGAGCAGUGCUGUGGGCUGCUGCUGGGUUGGGAACUGGCCAGAAGUGUGGGAGCUUCAUCCUCUGCUCCUCAAAACCUCCUGGUGACUUUUCUUUCUUGCAGGAGAAGCCCCAACUGGAAAUCCUGGUUUGAUUUUUGCAUGCUCUUGUGUGGAGCUAGGAGUUGGGCUCAGUGAUCCUUGUGGGUCCUUUCCAGCACAGGGUACUCUGUGAUCCUUGCCUAGAAAACUGGUAAAAAAACUAUCAGCCAUUGAGAGUUGCUCUGUAUAUUCCCCGUAUCUAUGUUUGCAACUGCCAUCGAAAUCUUUCUAGGAGUGUCUCAACUGAGUUAAUGGGACUGGAGGGGCAGUAAUGCCAGACCCAAAUAACAGAUGCAGCACAAGGAGCUCAGGAGUGAAGAGCACCCAUGUGCACACUGUGCAAAGCUGAGCACUGGAACGUCGGAUCUUUCUUAGCCGGGUGUUUGUUAGUUCCCUUGUCAGAUAUCAGUCUCUUAGAGAGUUGGCAUCUCUCAUCUCCUUCUUGGCUCUGUCUUCUCUGUGUGUCUGCUUAACGGAGAUGCAGAUGCUCCUGCUCGGCUCAGGGCUGUGCAGGAAUCAAGAGACCCAGAGUCUGCCACUUCUGGCCCUGCAGAGCAUUCCUGCAUGCUCUAUUCACCCACGUGCCCUACUCCCCCAUGUUCCCCCGUGGCUGAUCCCUGAGUUAUGGUGCAGGUAGCUGGCCAGCUUGGGGUUGGCCGCAUGGCUCAAGAGAUAAAGAACACAGAAUCCUUCAGCACUCGUGAUUAAUAAUGUGUCAUGAGAGGUGAAAGCCAUUUGUCUGUGGAAUUCGUUAACAGCAUCUAAUAUUAGUAAUAACAGAAACAAAUAAAGAAGGAAACUAAAAAGAAUCCCCAUCCAGCCCCAAAUCCAAGAUAAAUAAUGUAAGGAGCGUCUCCUGGGAUCGUUUCUCUAUGGAUUAGAUCAAUAGCAACAUCCAAACGAAGCCAGGAGAGUGGCUCUGAGCCCAGAGCUCUGCGGUGCUGGCAGUAUCCACAGCCCUUUCAUGGUUUAUUACACAGACGUUUUCCCUGCACAUCACAAAGUUCCCUGGCUGACUAAUACACAGCCACUGUCGAAAUAAAUAUUUUGCUAAUUUUUUCUUUCUAGAGGAGAGAUCAAGCAGUAACUCCUUAUUGCUGCCGGGAAAGAGGAUGCAAAAAGCUGAGUCUGUAACAGGUCAGGCUUACAUUAGAAACUGUGAACGCAGAUCAAAAAGGAAAUCUGCAUUCAUUCUGCCCUUUGAGUGGAUGUGAGACAUAGCGAAGUUUGGUAUGUAAAAGUAUUUUUGUAUGUAAGGAAUCACGUUUGUGGUCUGCGCACACGGAUGAAGUUGAUAAGAAUCUCUGCUGGACCUUGACAUGGGAUUUCUAACUAAUGUGAUGGAUUUCUUUGUUUGCUGUGUUUAUUUUUUGUCCUCAGCUCAACCGGUCUUGUAGUGUUUAUUGUGCAAUUCAUUAUUUAUACCUCAGCAUUCAGCUGCCCUCAUCGGAUCAGCAAAUACACAGCAGGAAAGCCCCUUCUCUAAAGAGCUUCAGCCCUUGGUGCUAAUGAGAAGACAAAGGUGCCUGCUGCUCUCCUGCACCACGUUCUGCUCACAGUAACAAGCAGCUUGUUUCCCUCUGUGGCCUGGGAGUGGAUGGGAUUUUGCCUUUCAUACCUUUUUGGCUGGAGGGUGCAGGUCUGGGGCUGAAGGUGAAGGAUUCACCCAUUCUGGGAACAGACAAAGAUUUGCGACAUCCUCCCCUUCCUGUAAAUCUUAACACAUCACUGUUUUUCUAAAACCAAAAUGAAUAUUUCAUCUAUGGAAGCUGUCAGCCGGGUGCCUGCAUGUCGAGCAACCAGAGCGACCUUGCAGUUCCCUGCAGGAAUGCUGCAGGAGGUGAGGCCAAGGAGCCAUCCUCCCAACACGUAGCCUCCACUUGGAGGACUAAAAAGGACUUGAGCUACACCUCAGACUUCUUUCUCUGUCUUACAACUUCCCAGUUUCUCUUCAGGAAGAAGCAUAGAAAUGGUUUGCCACGUUCCUGAUGAUUGCAGAAAGGGAGCAAAAUAUACAGUGAUGGUUGAAAUGGUUUAUCAUCUAGAGUGCUCCAAAGGAUAAACAACACAGAGAAUGAGAGAACUGCUGGAACUCAACCUUUUGACAGCACGUGAAAUCCCAAUAACAAUCUUGGAAAUGUGCUGAUUGAGGGAUUAGCAUGAAAGGCAUCCAGCUGGGGUGCUCUGCUCUGCUCUGGGUGGCAGCACCGGGAACCUCGAGGAAGGUCAGUAGAUCUCUCCAACUCUCGGUCCUUCCUGCUGGAAACAGCAUAAGAAGCUCCUUGUGGAGGACCAGAUGCUGUAUCUGUGCAUAUUGUGCCAGAGUAAACAGAAUAAGAAAACCCUUUUCAUUUGUUUGAGCAGCUGCCAAUCUCCAGUGCAUUUUCCACUUCAGCAUUUGCAAAGACAAACUGGCCGUGUAACUGUAUUUCUAAUGAUAGUGUGUAAUUUAAAUACCUAUUUCUAUUGCUAUUGAAACGUUACGAGCAACCUCUAAAAGUGCGAUCAGAAGGGUUACAAGUGCAGUGACAUAGAAGAAGCCCGUUGUGCCAGCCAGGCACAUUUCUCCUGGCUGCAUUACAUCUGAGAGCGGGCAGAAAAGCAACAUCGUGAAAUAAGACCUGGAGGAUCUGGCGUGGUUUCUGUUUUAAGGUAUGGCUGCUAUGUCAUCCUCAUCUCCAUCUCAACUAUUUCUGCAACGGUGCUCAUUCAAACACAGGCAGACAGAUAUGGCCAGAAAUGCAGACUUGGCACCAUAUAGGAUGCAAAGAAUAUUAUAUACCUCCUAGGAAGAUAAAGUCAUGUCAAGUGAGAAGCACAAAGCUGUCACCUUGCGCUGUAGCCGUGCACAGCCUCAUGUGAUUGUGUGCAUUUGCCUCCAACACGCAAGGCUGCUGCAAUCUCUGUUGCUGGCAUUUUGAGGACAACUUACGACGUUAAUGAAAAGGGUGUGAGCCCGAACCACAUCAGCCCUGUGUGUAAGUGGGGGAGAGCACUGAGGUUUGGGGUUAUCCCCAGCUGCGCCCCAGGCAAUGCCCCUUAAGCCCCAAGUGCUGCACAACUGGGGGAGGACAGUGGCGGACUUUAGGUGGUUUGCAGGAACACAAUGCUGACUGCAGACUGUACAGCUCCUUAAUUAAUGACUUGCUGGCUUCAUUCUCGAGCCAUGGCUCCUCCAUUAGACUAUUCCAGUCACAUACGCUCCUGAAACAGCUUCAGCUCUUUGAGAUGCAGUCCAAGAGAUGAAUAAAUAACAAUAAGCUCCUGCUGGAAUGCAUUCAGGAAACAUUUGAUAGAAACUCAUUUAUUUUACUUUAUUAUUUAGCAAGCUAAUAUAUAAACUCACCUAACAUAACAGCAGAUUAGCUGAGGCACUCACUUUCUAUUAGCGCGUGGUUACGUUACUGAAAGCCUCAAGUAUAUUUUCAGAGAGGGAGUUAUGUAAGAAACUUUUUUUUAACAAAAAGUGAAAGAUAUUCUAAGGGCUUCCUGACAUAAAAGCGUACUGAAAUAGUUCUGUGUCCUCAAGCCUUUAAAAUAUUGGUUCCUUAGCUGAGCUUCACCUCAAAAACUUGCAUUUCUGGUUGGUUUUAAGAUAUAUCACUGGAAACUGGAAUAAAGCUAAUGUGAACCCGAAGCACUUUGGCUGCCUGCACACAAGCAGCUCUGCUUGGCACCAGAAGGCAGCCAGGCAGCUCGGGGUAGUAGGGAACCAGAGAGGGCAGAAGAAUGCUGCCAACUAUUUUGACCAGGCUGUAAAUAGUCACUGCUGCAGUGAGCCCUUUGGCUAGAAACUGUGCAUUCGUGUUACUAAAAAACAGUUACAAUGGUCAGGGUGAAACCUGGAAGGACUGUGAUGCACUCGCCAGCUUUGGGAAAUGGUCCGGAUCCCCAGGGUAUCGAGGACAGGAAAGUAAACCUUCAAUGAUAACCAUCCACUGUGGAGAGCUCUUUCAUUUUUAGAGGAGUUUUUUGUAGUUGUUGUCUGAUUUGUCAGAUAAAUAUCUGCAAAUCCUUGGGUCCUGUCCAGAUACUACAAAAUAUAAAUGGAGAUCCACCUAACACAUACCAGGGGAAAAUGAAAGUUGAGUGAGUUGUGUGCUUGAGCUGUUUUAUUUGUGCAGCCAUUUGUUUAGCAGUCAUCCUGGCAGCCUUUCUGCCCCUUCAGUUCAUAGAAUGGCCUGGGUUGAAAAAGACCACAACGCUCACUGAGUUUCAACCCCCUGCUGUGUGCAGGGUCACCAACCACCAGACCAGGCUGCCCACUUCUGUGAGACUGUACAAAAUGACACAGCUUCUUUGCGUGGUUUUAUGGAAAUUAAACUUUCUAUUACUUAAAAAGGCCAAAGCAUUCAUGCAAUAUGUUGGUAUGGUUAAAAGCUGGAUGAUCGUAUAUUUAAUUGUAGCACAUAGAAGAUAAAUUAAGAAAUAGUUUAGUUCAUGGUUCAGUUUAAAAAGGAUGCGUCUGCAGUGUCAGUAACCUGAGACUGAGGGUUUGGCCAAUGGAAGCAGGUACACAAUUACUAGGAGAGAAAAUAAAUGAAGAAGAAACACAAAGCUUGGUGGAAAAAAAAAAAAAAGAUACUUAUGCUGCUUCUUUUGAUGUAUUUAAGGAAACAUUUAAAUGGGUAAAACUGGCCAAUGUGUGAAAGAGCGUUCAGAUGUAGCAGGUCAGCGCUGAGACAGAGAAGGUCAAGUGACACUGAGCACUAACAAUGUCCCCAAGGGCUCAAUGGGAUAAAGUGAAGAAAGAAGCAUCAUAAAAAAAAAAAAAAAAAAAAAAAAAAAAAAAAAAAAAACACAAAAACAGAGGAUGGAGAGCACCAGGCAGAGCUGCAGCAGUUAAUUUCUGGGCUGGAUGCUAAUGCAGAGCACCAUCACAUAUGCAGUGCUGUUUUGGGAGCGGUGGAGGAGAGUGCAUGGCACAGAAUGCCAAGCUGUGCUGCUAGGCUGCCGAGUAACCAUGGGUACACCCAUGUGUUCCAUGUCUUUCCCCAUGUAUCCCAUGUCUUCCUCUCCUUGCUAUGUAUAAAUAGAGAUAUCAGUGAGCUGACACACCCUGCUCAGAUUCUAAACCCAGCUUCCCCUUUCUGUGAUCCUUCCUUGCGUUCAACCCAUCUAUUUUCGUCAGUGACCAAAAAAAUACUUUGCUGCCAUUUGUGAAUGCCUUCCUGUGCAUGUUAGCCCUGCUCCUUAACCAAAGCACCUCAGGCAUCCCGCAGCCCUUCCUCGCAGCACAACCAGCCCAGGCUGCACCAAGGCACUUCUCUCCUACCUGCAGCCCUGUGCUCACCCUUGCCAUGCUGACUGCCGCAGGUUUGGCUGCACUCUCAGGAAUUGGUUAAAUCCCAUUCUACCUACAGCCAAGGGGCUCCUGGGGGAGGGGAUGCUGUGUGGAGAACAGGCAGCGUGAGACAAAUAUAGCAGCUGUCAAGGGAGGCUUAUUUGAAGCACGUCCCCCCAAACCUACCAGUCUGCUAUGCCGGCCAUGGAUUUGUCCUUCAGUGUUUGUUUUUUCCUUGUUGGAGAGUUUGAAAGGCCCAUUUCUACCACUGCGAAGCCUCAGCUGUCAUAUCGACUUUCCUCUUACUGCAAGCUACGCACUGAAGCACUGUGCCCUUUCAUAUCAAAUACAUCAUUAACACAGAUCCUUUUUCCCCCAUCAGAACCAAACGCUGAGUGCAGGGACUCGAGUGCUCCAGCAGCACAGCCAUCCCGAGAUACCCCCACCAUGCUGACUGCUGGCCCUGCCUGCAUCUGCAUGGGGCUGCCCCACAGGCUGUGACCCAGAGGCACCAAACCCAGCACUCAGAGAGGGGCACUCUGAUAAUUCAACUCCCAUGUCUUUCUGUGAUUAAGUAGCAUGCUGCUAUUUAUUUAAACCUCUUCGGAAACAGUGAACAGAAGAGUCAUGUCUAUUUUCAGGCAUUUCAAAUUUGUUAUAUGUCUGUACUCAUAGAGACAUAGAGAGAUUUAUAUACCCAGUACAGAAAAACUCACAUAGGGAUGCAAAACACAAACCCCUAACGUACAAAUCAGGAGGAGCCAUAAAAGCUGCACUACAGUCUCUUGUCCUCCUCCCAGACACGAAUCUCCCAAAGGACUACAGCUCCCAGCAUGCUCCAAAGCCAACACAUUUCUGUACCAGGUGCUUGUUUGCAUCCAGGGGCAAUCACCUCACCUUGGCCAAACAGGAGCAAAACGUGGCACAGCUGCUCCAUAAUCUGUAAAAUUUGGUGCAGCUGCCAGCUUGCGAGUGUAGCCAAUGAAAAAGUGGGUGCUGGGUGACACGAGCUUCCCCACCUAGAGGUCUAUGUGUGUACAGGACAGGCUGCUUUGGAGUGAGACUGUGCCAGCAGCCUUAGGCUGGGUGUUAACACCCCAAAGGGUGCCUGGGUGCCUUCAUGGGAAAUACCUUUAAAGCACUCCUGUUUCUUUCCCCAGAGUGAACUGGCUGUGUAAGAGGUAAGGGAGCUGGGGCAAUAAAUCCCGUUUCCUCCUGCAUCUAAUUUUACAGAAUCUUAUAAAUAGAAGAACUUGUGUUCCCUCUCAGCCCUGUUAGAGCUAAGAUUUGGGUGUGUAUUUGUACAAGAUGUACGUGCAUGUCUGUAAAAAUCUUCACCUCCUCUUCUUCUCCCCCACACGCAUUGGAACAAACUGCAGCACUUGAAAUUCUUCAGUCGGGGAAAAAAAAAAAGCACACCAAAAACACCCUGGAGGAUGAUCAAAGGUGAAUGAGAAGCUUGGCCACGGAGCAGACCCCAGUGGAGAUAGCAGUUCUUUAAGGCUUUCAAGCAGCUGACAAGAAACCAUCAAGUUCUGAGAGCUCCACUCCUAUGAAAGUCAACAGUCCUUCAAGAAAGAGGACCCAACUUGCUGGAGUGGCUUAUCUGGACCGGAGCCUACUCCUACCCAAGACCUGAAAGACCUCAGGGAAGAUGUCAGUGGAGGCAGCCAGAAGACUGGGGAGCCUCAGUGGUCUCAAAAGCAAGCCACAAGAAAACACUGUCACCUGAUGUGGGUCAUGGUUGGGCAGUAAUACCGAUGGCCAAAGUGUGGGGGUCACCGUGGGGAGGACUAGUGCUGGAGGAAGAGGUUGAGUCACGUUCUCUGGGGUUAAUUAUAUGGUGGAUGCUGAUGAACUAGGCAAAGAGCUUAAAAUCUAUAAGGAAUUUGUAAUGGGAAUUUAUCUUCAUACCUAUACUGCUAUUGAUCAAAAUGGUAGUCAGCAGAUGUUCAGACCCCAUUGAUCAGCUUGGAUAUAUUAUCGGUGGCUGUAUUCUAAAUAGAGUUCAGUGCACUAAGGGAAUUUUUUCCUUGUCUUUAUUUCUAUUUUCCUGUCACCAUGACAAUGUAUAUGUAAACAUUUCUUAUUUAAAAAUAUCAAAUAUGAGAGCAGAUUUGAAGUAUUUUGGAAUUUAAGUGCUGGGAUCAGAAUAACAUGUGUGGUGAUUUGACAUGAGCUGAAAAUAUACCCAAAGGCUCCUUUCCAGCAUGCUGACAAAACAUAUAAAUUAGCCUGGCAAGGGUCUGGCUCUCACCGGAGCACAGUGCAGAGUCCUGAUCCAGAGGAGCAGCCACUGCCCCAGAUAUGCAGUGAAUCAUCAUUUUUCUAGCAGAG
ensembl:lncRNA